rnacentral:rRNA from 1 species
AGAGUUUGAUCAUGGCUCAGAACGAACGCUGGCGGCGUGCCUAAUACAUGCAAGUCGAGCGAGAAAGUCUCUUCGGAGGCGAGUAAAGCGGCGCACGGGUGAGUAACACGUGGGCAACCUGCCCUUGAGUCUGGGAUAACCCGGGGAAACCCGGGCUAAUACCGGAUACGGCUACGGGGUCUUUGGAUUCUGUAGAGAAAGAUGGCCUCUUCAUGAAUGCUAUCUCUCAAGGAUGGGCCCGCGUCCUAUUAGCUAGUUGGUGGGGUAAUGGCUCACCAAGGCAAAGAUGGGUAGCUGGUCUGAGAGGAUGACCAGCCACACUGGAACUGAGACACGGUCCAGACUCCUACGGGAGGCAGCAGUAGGGAAUUUUGGGCAAUGGGCGAAAGCCUGACCCAGCAACGCCGCGUGUGGGAUGAAGGCCCUCGGGUCGUAAACCACUGUCAGGAGGAAAGAAAAGCCGGCCGGGUAAUAUUCGGUCGGCCUGACGGUACCUCCAAAGGAAGCACCGGCUAACUCCGUGCCAGCAGCCGCGGUAAUACGGAGGGUGCAAGCGUUGUUCGGAAUUACUGGGCGUAAAGCGCGUGUAGGUGGUUGAGUAAGUCGAAUGUGAAAGCCCCGGGCUCAACCCGGGAAGUGCAUCCGAAACUGCUCGACUAGAGUCCCGGAGAGGAAGGCAGAAUUCCCAAUGUAGGGGUGAAAUCCGUAGAUAUUGGGAGGAAUACCGGUGGCGAAGGCGGCCUUCUGGACGGUGACUGACACUCAGACGCGAAAGCGUGGGGAGCAAACAGGAUUAGAUACCCUGGUAGUCCACGCUGUAAACGUUGCGAACUAGGUGUCGGGGGUAUUCACCCCUCCGGUGCCGAAGCUAACGUCUUAAGUUCGCCGCCUGGGAAGUACGGCCGCAAGGCUAAAACUCAAAGGAAUUGACGG